UACAGAGGGUGCGAGCGUUAAUCGGAAUUACUGGGCGUAAAGCGCGCGUAGGCGGCUUUGCAAGUCGGGUGUGAAAUCCCCAGGCUUAACCUGGGAACUGCAUUCGAGACUGCAUUGCUAGAGUAUGGGAGAGGGAAGUGGAAUUUCCGGUGUAGCGGUGAAAUGCGUAGAUAUCGGAAGGAACAUCAGUGGCGAAGGCGGCUUACUGGUCCAUAACUGACGCUGAGGUGCGAAAGCGUGGGGAGCAAACAGG
rnacentral:rRNA from 1 species